rnacentral:rRNA from 1 species
CCUACGGGGGGCAGCAGUGGGGAAUAUUGCACAAUGGGGGAAACCCUGAUGCAGCGACGCCGCGUGGAGGAAGAAGGUCUUCGGAUUGUAAACUCCUGUUGUUGAGGACGAUAAUGACGGUACUCAACAAGGAAGUGACGGCUAACUACGUGCCAGCAGCCGCGGUAAAACGUAGGUCACAAGCGUUGUCCGGAAUUACUGGGUGUAAAGGGAGCGCAGGCGGGAAUGCAAGUUGGGAGUGAAAUCUACGGGCUCAACCCGUAAACUGCUCUCAAAACUGUAUUUCUUGAGUAGUGCAGAGGUAGGCGGAAUUCCCGGUGUAGCGGUGGAAUGCGUAGAUAUCGGGAGGAACACCAGUGGCGAAGGCGGCCUACUGGGCACCAACUGACGCUGAGGCUCGAAAGUGUGGGUAGCAAACAGGAUUAGAUACCCCAGUAGUC